rnacentral:rRNA from 1 species
UACGUAGGGUGCAAGCGUUGUCCGGAAUUAUUGGGCGUAAAGAGCUCGUAGGCGGUCUGUCGCGUCUGCUGUGAAAACCCGGGGCUCAACCCCGGGGCUUGCAGUGGAUACGGGCAGACUAGAGUUCGGUAGGGGAGACUGGAAUUCCUGGUGUAGCGGUGAAAUGCGCAGAUAUCAGGAGGAACACCGGUGGCGAAGGCGGGUCUCUGGGCCGAUACUGACGCUGAGGAGCGAAAGCGUGGGGAGCGAACAGG